rnacentral:rRNA from 1 species
GACGAACGCUGGCGGCGUGCCUCAUACAUGCAAGUCGAGCGAGGUGUAGCAAUACACCUAGCGGCGGACGGGUGAGUAACACGUGGGCAACCUGCCUCAAAGACAGGGAUAACGGGUCGAAAGAUGCGCUAAUACCUGGUAAGCUCACAAGGCUGCAUGGCCUGGUGAGAAAAGGAGCAAUCCGCUUUGAGAUGGGCCCGCGUCCCAUUAGCUAGUUGGUAGGGUAACGGCCUACCAAGGCGACGAUGGGUAGCCGGCCUGAGAGGGUGAUCGGCCACACUGGAACUGAGAGACGGUCCAGACUCCUACGGGAGGCAGCAGUAGGGAAUCUUCCGCAAUGGGCGAAAGCCUGACGGAGCAACGCCGCGUGAGUGAAGAAGGUCUUCGGAUCGUAAAGCUCUGUCUUCGGUGACGAAAGAGACGGUAACCGAGGAGGAAGCCACGGCAAACUACGUGCCAGCAGCCGCGGUAAUACGUAGGUGGCGAGCGUUGUCCGGAAUUACUGGGCGUAAAGCGCGCGUAGACGGCUUAGUAAGUCAGAUGUGAAAGACUCGGGCUCAACCUGGGGGCGGCAUCUGAGACUGUUGAGCUUGAGUGCAGGAGAGGCAAGUGGAAUUCCCAGUGUAGCAGUGAAAUGCGUAGAGAUUGGGAGGAACACCAGUGGCGAAGGCGACUUGCUGGACUGUAACUGACGUUGAGGCGCGAAAGCUAGGGGAGCAAACGGGAUUAGAUACCCCGGUAGUCCUAGCCGUAAACGAUGGGUACUAGGUGUGGGAGGUAUCGACCCCUUCCGUGCCGGAGUGAACGCAAUAAGUACCCCGCCUGGGGAGUACGGCCGCAAGGUU